ACAUGACAAUGUCAAUUUUUUUACUGUUGGUGUUCCAUUAUAUUCUAAGUAAACUACUUUAUCAUUUAUGACACCAUUUCAUAAUUAAGCCACCCUGCAAACAACUGAAAGCUAAUAAUGUUGCAUCCGGCCAGUAUGGAGAAGAAACAAUUAUAGAGGCUUUGAUGCUGGAUUUUCUUCUUCCUUCCUGGGAUUUUGGUGACCACUUUUCCUGAAGGAGCUGUUGGGAAUCACGUCUUCACGCAUCAACACUCUGCAGCUACAGAAGUCCAAGAAUAAACAAUGCUAUCAAUCAAUUUUCCCUCGCCCUGGGGGUGACAGUUUGGGCCUUCUUCCAGACGUUGGCAAAGCAGUGACUCAUUCAGCACCACUUAUUAAAAGAUUUUUUUUUGACCCUAGAGAAAAUCCAAAAGUGGAGGAGUGGACAUUGCAAUCGUCUACAUGCUGCUUAUGGAUUACUGAUGACCCGACAAGACAGACUGCAUAAAUACUCUGAUUACUCCGCAGUGGUUGGAUGAGGUUGAAAGUGGCAUGAGGAGCAGUAC
ensembl:lncRNA